ensembl:lncRNA
CCCCCCCCCCACUCACCCAGAAGCCCCGGGAGUGGCCGGGCGCGGGUCGCGGGGGCGGCGGGCGGGCCGCGCGGCAAGUAGAAGCAGCAGCAGCAGCAGCAGGAGCGCGAGCGGCGGGCCCCAUGUCCGCUGGCGGGCGGGCAGGCGGCGCUCAGUCCAUGGCGGCGGCUCCUCCCUGCGCGCCUGGCGCCGCCGAAGCUUCAGCACCGGACAGCGCCGCCGGCCCCGCCCCCGACACGCCCCCUGCCACGCCCCCGAUGCGCCGGGCACGCCCCACGACGUGCGUUCGCCCGCCGGCCACGCCCCCCGACGUCCCCGCGCCUGGCCCCGCGCUGCCUCCGAGUCGGACGGGCGUCGCGCCUCGGUAGUCCCAGCCGGUCUUCCUCUUCGGGCCCCUCUGCCCCGGCUUUCUCGGGAGUCGCACUGCCCCGCUUGCAGACGUCCGGGGCCUGGGACGGAACGGCGCGAACCCUCUCUGCUCGGCUGGGCAGGUGCAGACCCGGUCGAAGCUCGCCUGAAGCGCGGGCGGUGUCGCGGCCCCUGGAAGGGGACGGAGGAACAGCCGUGCGGGGUCCUCAGCCUGGAGAGAAGGGGCCUGCGGGAGGCUAACCUGGAGCUGUGGAAGCCCCUCCUGCGCUCUGCGCUCGGUUGGCGGGUCAGGGCUCCAUAGCGGGGACGAGGCCCGGAGGUGGGGUCCGCCUGGGUCCUUCCCUCCUCCCUGUGGCCGGGCCCAGAGGGGCCCCUGAGGACCCUGUGCUACUUCCUAAAGGCGCGGCUGUGAGGGUCCCCGGGGGCAGAAGGCAUCAGAGGGGGCUCUGUGUGUGAGUGUGUCAGAGAGAGGUGGGGUGUGCGUGCGCGCUGUGAGUGGGUGUGGGGGGUGAGGAUGUAGAGUAUGGUCGUAUUAUGCGAGUGUGGUGUGUGUGUGCUCCCCACAUCUCACCCCAGGCCAAUCUCCUCCAUCAUUGUCUUCGUCGUCGUCUCUUGUGGCCCUGCCAGGGACCCCAGUCCCCCGCCUGCUUCAGCGUUGGCAGUGGCCUGAGCCUCCUCUGACCCCUGUGGAUCCCACUCACCCAAGGUGAGGGUCUACGUAACCAAAUGCCUGCUUAAAUGCGAGUCACUACAUUCACACUGGAGAGGGAGCCAUCUGUCCAAGAACCAAAAAGCCUAUCCGUGCCCACAAGUUGGAGACUGCUGGGCCUCUGCCACUGGCAGAAUCCAUUGGCAUUUGUAGUGGACAUUGUGAAAGACUUGGAGGAGCUUAGGGCUCCUCCUGUGCCUGUAUCCUGGAGGACUGUUUACUUUUGGGGUGGGUGUCUCCUGUUCCUUGGCAUUGUUAAACAGGUCUCACGGAAAGGGCCUGGGAUUGUUUGUUCUUUCAUUGUUUGACUGGCUGCUGUUGACAGUGGUUUCCUGAACCAGAUCCUGCUUCACUCCAAGGCCCCAGCUCCGGAAUUCUGACAGGGUCGAAGCAAAGUUGUAGCAAAGUUUGCCCCAGGAAAGGCAAAAUGGAAAACCAGAGAGGCACAAGAGGGAUUGCGAGAUUAUAGUAACAAAGGCACUGAGAAGAAGCACAAAAUUCACCAGGUGGCGUAGGAAAGAGGGUGGAAGCCGCUGCCCAUUCCUUCUGGUCUCAGCACUGAAUUUGACCAGAGCACACCAGUCCUGGGCUGUACUUGACAAGCCACAAAACCUUAGCUCUGCCGAAACGACAGGAAGUUAAAGGCAGAGAAAUGGAGAAUGUGGAAGGAAGGAAGAAAGAAUGGGGCUAGGUUCCAGAACUAAAUCUGAGGUAGCCCAGAUUUCUGACCUGGAGGACAGCUGUGCAUGGCUCCUUCUGGAAUGCUAGCUAGAUAGAUCAUCACACCAGGAAUUCCCAGUCUUUGACCCUGAUACACGAGCUGUGCAUGUGUGUGCACCCGUGCGUGCAUGUGUGCGUGUGUACAUGUGUGUGCAACUGCACAUAUGUGUGUGGGUGUGUACGUGUGCAUGCACUCAUGCACAUGUAUUUGGUGUGCUGGGUGCACGUGCCUACGUGUAUGUAUAAGAACAUGAUUAAAUGCUAUACAAGGCACACAUAUACAUGUAUCUGUCCACUAGGUGUACAGCAUUCACUCAAAACAUAUGCUUAAUCCCUGGGCCCUUUAGGCCAAGGGUGUCCCCUACAUUUAUUUAUGCUUUGUGCUUUUCUACUUAUAAAAUC